GCGGGGUUGGCAGAGUGGUCUAUAGCGGCAGCCUGCUAAGCUGUUCUGGGAAACCAGGCGAGGGUUCGAAUCCCUCACCCCGCG
rnacentral:tRNA from 1 species